GAUGAAUGGGUAGUAUACCCAUAAUUCGGAUAUAUUUAGACUUAAAUUAUUGCAUUCUUAAGUUAUUUAGUAGCAUUUUUAUUGUGUUUAUAUCUUGUUUGGCAGAUUUGGAAGCUGGAAGGGCAAUUAUGGGAAUUUCAAGCAUUGAAUGGCAAUUUGGUAAUUUCAAUGAAGUCCAGCGUCGGGGCGCUGGAAAUUGUACUAUCCUCAGCGCCGGGGCGCUGAGCCUCGGCUGGCGUUGACCGGAUUAGCGCGUUGGACUU
rnacentral:lncRNA from 1 species